UUAAGUAAGGUCUAGAUCUUCACUGCCUUCAUCUUCCAUUUCGUGAUCUAUUCCACCAACAAAAUAGGAUAAAUAAAGUCAUUACUUUUCAAGAGAAUACGGUCUAAGAAUGCUCAUAGCACCCAAAGAUAUUGAAUGCUUGGACUAAAUAUAUGGAACAAAAAAGAAAAAGAAAAGGUUGGACAUACAAUAUGUUAGUCAUGAGCCUAGCACUUCUACAGAUAAAUACAUUAAUGUAGACCCAAAUUUGGACAUCAAAUGUGCAUGCAAGCUUCUAAAAAAGAACAACAUAUCGAAUCUUAAUGCCAUUAAUUAUAGGAUUUAAAAGGAAAAGAAGUCAGUUUGAACAUAUUUGGUUUUGUGACCACUAGCUAAUUCCUGAUACUAACUUGCACACACAUCUGGUUAUCAGCAAUCCUUAUACUAGACAUAGAAUUCCACGUACUCAAUAAAUUCUAGUAAUCCAAUAAAGUAAUUCCCUUCGGGUGUUUCUAUCUUCUCAUAAUUAGGUUUCAGUGUUUCAGUUCUUAUACUUGCAAAAUACCUCAAGAUCGCAUGCAUCCAAAUGUUGUUGUGUUUGGUCUAUUAAAGCUUCAACUUGGUAAAACAAAAUACUAUAAUGAGUGUAAGCAUUACUUAUUAGUGCAUUUCAUUUAGCUUUUGUCCCAAGAUCCCAAGCAUACACAUUCUGUACAUGGAAAUUUUCUUUCCAUGAAUGUUCAGGUGAAAAUAAUGGUUUGAUAUGUGCAAACUUAAUGGUCUUGGGAGAAUAGAACUUGCCAACCAAGAUAUCAUCUCCACUUAAUGGUCUUGGGAAUAAAAGUUGCAAACCAGUGAAGGACAACAGUAGUAGUUGCACUUAUAAAUAUAACAGAAGAUGCAACAGCACCCUUCAGUAUCACAAUCAUGUUAGGAGUUGAAGAGUUUAGUUGUGAAUGAAGAAAAAAUGAGCAGGUAAAGUCUGAGCAAAACGCACAUACAAAAUUUCAUAAGGCAUAGAAAAAGAGGGGACUUUUCAUUUGUCCUGUUUAUUUCUCUUUUUGCUUCUUCUAGGGAUACGUAAUUAAUCAAAUUCAAUACAGAAUUCACAUAAAAAUUGAAUCUUGAAACAGAAUAGAGAAACCCCAAAUCAGAAGAUACAGACUUUUUUAGAUAACAAGAUAUUUUUAGCAUCUGCAACAAAAUAAAUUAAGGUACAAACACUAGCCACGCCCUUUCUGAAAAUCCGACAUCAAUUUUCAUCACUUUCCAAAAAUAUUAUUUCAGAGAAAAUCAUUGCACCAUAGCUAACAAAAAAAUAAGAUAUUUAAUACACUACUCAUACCCUAAAUAUUACAUAGAAAAAAGAACGAUUAAAGAAAAAAAUACCCAAAAUUAGUAAAAAAAAAAAAAAAAAAAAAAAAAACUUACAGCUAAAGUCAGUUUCUCACAGACUGCCUUUUGCGUUGAAGAUUUUCUCUAUUGAAGUCACAUGCCCCGAGUUCGUGGGUUGAAUAAGACGACGUUGAGCAGAUAGACUGCAGGUUUGCUAAACGGACACAGAUUUUUUUGGAUUUGGGGAUAAAUCAAACGGUUAUAACUGGGUCUGAUUUGAAAGAUUUCUCAGAUUGAAAAGGGGGAAAAGGUCGGAUCUAAAAGAUUAGACUGAAUUGGGAAGUGGAAGGGAUUAUAAAGAGAGGGGUCUGUGGGAUUAAAGAGAGGGGUCUCAUGUGAAAGGGAGUACGUAGUGAAGCAUAAUAUUGUUUUUGUUCUUUGGUUAUCUGCUAGAAGUUGUAUCAGUGUGCUUUUGUCACCUUAUGCUCCACUAAUGAUUGUUAUAUGAAGAUUUAUUUGAGGCUCGAAAUAUAACUCAUAAAUGAUUGUAUAUUUCAGAAGAACAUUGGUAGGAAGAUAUUCAUGCUCACAACUCUAACUCGUUUUUAAUGCAUCGACACAUUAGAUUUUACGUGUCAUGAUAUC
rnacentral:lncRNA from 1 species